CUACCAACAUCAGGAUGCAUCCUGCUUUUGGGAAAGAGGGCUUUUCUGUGGUUCGGAUUCUCCCAGAGCACAGAGAUUACACUGCCAUGCGGAGAAGCCAAUUUAUUUUGGGGCUGGUAAAUCAUGUCUGGGAAGGCAGGUCCCCAGUUUAGAAAGGUGCCAUGACACAUAACUUUAAAAAAGGCAAAUACAGUACCCUGCUGAAGUGUA